rnacentral:rRNA from 1 species
CGAAUGGGGAAACCCAGCAUGAGUUAUGUCAUGUUAUCGAUAUGUGAAUACAUAGCAUAUCAGAAGGCACACCCGGAGAACUGAAACAUCUUAGUACCCGGAGGAAGAGAAAGAAAAUUCGAUUCCCUUAGUAGCGGCGAGCGAAAUGGGAAGAGCCCAAACCAACAAGCUUGCUUGUUGGGGUUGUAGGACACUCUAUACGGAGUUACAAAGGACGACAUUAGACGAAUCAUCUGGAAAGAUGAAUCAAAGAAGGUAAUAAUCCUGUAGUCGAAAAUGUUGUCUCUCUUGAGUGGAUCCUGAGUACGACGGAGCACGUGAAAUUCCGUCGGAAUCUGGGAGGACCAUCUCCUAAGGCUAAAUACUCUCUAGUGACCGAUAGUGAACCAGUACCGUGAGGGAAAGGUGAAAAGCACCCCGGAAGGGGAGUGAAAUAGAACCUGAAACCGUGUGCUUACAAGUAGUCAGAGCCCGUUAAUGGGUGAUGGCGUGCCUUUUGUAGAAUGAACCGGCGAGUUACGAUUUGAUGCAAGGUUAAGCAGUAAAUGUGGAGCCGUAGCGAAAGCGAGUCUGAAUAGGGCGUUUAGUAUUUGGUCGUAGACCCGAAACCAGGUGAUCUACCCUUGGUCAGGUUGAAGUUCAGGUAACACUGAAUGGAGGACCGAACCGACUUACGUUGAAAAGUGAGCGGAUGAACUGAGGGUAGCGGAGAAAUUCCAAUCGAACCUGGAGAUAGCUGGUUCUCUCCGAAAUAGCUUUAGGGCUAGCCUCAAGUGAUGAUUAUUGGAGGUAGAGCACUGUUUGGACGAGGGGCCCCUCUCGGGUUACCGAAUUCAGACAAACUCCGAAUGCCAAUUUAAUUUAACUUGGGAGUCAGAACAUGGGUGAUAAGGUCCGUGUUCGAAAGGGAAACAGCCCAGACCACCAGCUAAGGUCCCAAAAUAUAUGUUAAGUGGAAAAGGAUGUGGCGUUGCCCAGACAACUAGGAUGUUGGCUUAGAAGCAGCCAUCAUUUAAAGAGUGCGUAAUAGCUCACUAGUCGAGUGACACUGCGCCGAAAAUGUACCGGGGCUAAACAUAUUACCGAAGCUGUGGAUUGUCCUUUGGACAAUGGUAGGAGAGCGUUCUAAGGGCGUUGAAGCAUGAUCGUAAGGACAUGUGGAGCGCUUAGAAGUGAGAAUGCCGGUGUGAGUAGCGAAAGACGGGUGAGAAUCCCGUCCACCGAUUGACUAAGGUUUCCAGAGGAAGGCUCGUCCGCUCUGGGUUAGUCGGGUCCUAAGCUGAGGCCGACAGGCGUAGGCGAUGGAUAACAGGUUGAUAUUCCUGUACCACCUAUAAUCGUUUUAAUCGAUGGGGGGACGCAGUAGGAUAGGCGAAGCGUGCGAUUGGAUUGCACGUCUAAGCAGUAAGGCUGAGUAUUAGGCAAAUCCGGUACUCGUUAAGGCUGAGCUGUGAUGGGGAGAAGACAUUGUGUCUUCGAGUCGUUGAUUUCACACUGCCGAGAAAAGCCUCUAGAUAGAAAAUAGGUGCCCGUACCGCAAACCGACACAGGUAGUCAAGAUGAGAAUUCUAAGGUGAGCGAGCGAACUCUCGUUAAGGAACUCCGCAAAAUGACCCCGUAACUUCGGGAGAAGGGGUGCUCUUUAGGGUUAACGCCCAGAAGAGCCGCAGUGAAUAGGCCCAAGCGACUGUUUAUCAAAAACACAGGUCUCUGCUAAACCGUAAGGUGAUGUAUAGGGGCUGACGCCUGCCCGGUGCUGGAAGGUUAAGAGGAGUGGUUAGCUUCUGCGAAGCUACGAAUCGAAGCCCCAGUAAACGGCGGCCGUAACUAUAACGGUCCUAAGGUAGCGAAAUUCCUUGUCGGGUAAGUUCCGACCCGCACGAAAGGCGUAACGAUUUGGGCACUGUCUCAACGAGAGACUCGGUGAAAUCAUAGUACCUGUGAAGAUGCAGGUUACCCGCGACAGGACGGAAAGACCCCGUGGAGCUUUACUGUAGCCUGAUAUUGAAAUUCGGCACAGCUUGUACAGGAUAGGUAGGAGCCUUUGAAACGUGAGCGCUAGCUUACGUGGAGGCGCUGGUGGGAUACUACCCUAGCUGUGUUGGCUUUCUAACCCGCACCACUUAUCGUGGUGGGAGACAGUGUCAGGCGGGCAGUUUGACUGGGGCGGUCGCCUCCUAAAAGGUAACGGAGGCGCUCAAAGGUUCCCUCAGAAUGGUUGGAAAUCAUUCAUAGAGUGUAAAGGCAUAAGGGAGCUUGACUGCGAGACCUACAAGUCGAGCAGGGUCGAAAGACGGACUUAGUGAUCCGGUGGUUCCGCAUGGAAGGGCCAUCGCUCAACGGAUAAAAGCUACCCCGGGGAUAACAGGCUUAUCUCCCCCAAGAGUUCACAUCGACGGGGAGGUUUGGCACCUCGAUGUCGGCUCAUCGCAUCCUGGGGCUGUAGUCGGUCCCAAGGGUUGGGCUGUUCGCCCAUUAAAGCGGUACGCGAGCUGGGUUCAGAACGUCGUGAGACAGUUCGGUCCCUAUCCGUCGUGGGCGUAGGAAAUUUGAGAGGAGCUGUCCUUAGUACGAGAGGACCGGGAUGGACAUACCUCUGGUGUACCAGUUGUCGUGCCAACGGCAUAGCUGGGUAGCUAUGUGUGGACGGGAUAAGUGCUGAAAGCAUCUAAGCAUGAAGCCCCCCUCAAGAUGAGAUUUCCCAACUUCGGUUAUAAGAUCCCUCAAAGAUGAUGAGGUUAAUAGGUUCGAGGUGGAAGCAUGGUGACAUGUGGAGCUGACGAAUACUAAUCGAUCGAAGACUUAAUCAA